UACAGAGGGUGCGAGCGUUAAUCGGAAUUACUGGGCGUAAAGCGCGCGUAGGCGGCUUUGCAAGUCGGGUGUGAAAUCCCCAGGCUUAACCUGGGAACUGCAUUCGAGACUGCAUUGCUAGAGUAUGGGAGAGGGAAGUGGAAUUUCCGGUGUAGCGGUGAAAUGCGUAGAUAUCGGAAGGAACACCGGUGGCGAAGGCGGCUUCCUGGACCGAUCACUGACGCUGAGGCGCGAAAGCUAGGGGAGCAAACGGG
rnacentral:rRNA from 1 species